UAUUUCUCCAUACGGGGAAGGAUGAGAAGUUUCGACCAAGGUUCGAUUCGAGCGCAGCGAGAAAGCGUUGACGCAGGCAACGACCCGAAGGGUGAGGAGCGGAGCGACGAAUAAUCCUUCCCCCACCACCA
rnacentral:sRNA from 2 species